rnacentral:rRNA from 1 species
GGUUAAGCGACUAAGCGUACACGGUGGAUGCCCUGGCAGUCAGAGGCGAUGAAGGACGUGCUAAUCUGCGAAAAGCGUCGGUAAGGUGAUAUGAACCGUUAUAACCGGCGAUGUCCGAAUGGGGAAACCCAGUGCAAUUCGUUGCACUAUCGUUAACUGAAUACAUAGGUUAACGAGGCGAACCGGGGGAACUGAAACAUCUAAGUACCCCGAGGAAAAGAAAUCAACCGAGAUUCCCCCAGUAGCGGCGAGCGAACGGGGAGCAGCCCAGAGUCUGAAUCAGCUUGUGUGUUAGUGGAACGGUCUGGAAAGUCCGACGGUACAGGGUGAUAGUCCCGUACACCAAAAUGCACAGGUUGUGAACUCGAAGAGUAGGGCGGGACACGUGGUAUCCUGUCUGAAUAUGGGGGGACCAUCCUCCAAGGCUAAAUACUCCUGACUGACCGAUAGUGAACCAGUACCGUGAGGGAAAGGCGAAAAGAACCCCGGCGAGGGGAGUGAAAAAGAACCUGAAACCGUGUACGUACAAGCAGUGGGAGCACCUUCGGGUGUGACUGCGUACCUUUUGUAUAAUGGGUCAGCGACUUAUAUUCUGUAGCAAGGUUAACCGGAUAGGGGAGCCGCAGGGAAACCGAGUCUUAACUGGGCGUUAAGUUGCAGGGUAUAGACCCGAAACCCGGUGAUCUAGCCAUGGGCAGGUUGAAGGUUGGGUAACACUAACUGGAGGACCGAACCGACUAAUGUUGAAAAAUUAGCGGAUGACUUGUGGCUGGGGGUGAAAGGCCAAUCAAACCGGGAGAUAGCUGGUUCUCCCCGAAAGCUAUUUAGGUAGCGCCUCGUGAAUUCAUCUUCGGGGGUAGAGCACUGUUUCGGCUAGGGGGUCAUCCCGACUUACCAACCCGAUGCAAACUACGAAUACCGAAGAAUGUUAUCACGGGAGACACACGGCGGGUGCUAACGUCCGUCGUGAAGAGGGAAACAACCCAGACCGCCAGCUAAGGUCCCAAAGUCAUGGUUAAGUGGGAAACGAUGUGGGAAGGCACAGACAGCCAGGAUGUUGGCUUAGAAGCAGCCAUCAUUUAAAGAAAGCGUAAUAGCUCACUGGUCGAGUCGGCCUGCGCGGAAGAUGUAACGGGGCUAAACCAUGCACCGAAGCUGCGGCAGCGACACUAUGUGUUGUUGGGUAGGGGAGCGUUCUGUAAGCCUGCGAAGGUGACCUGUGAGGGUUGCUGGAGGUAUCAGAAGUGCGAAUGCUGACAUAAGUAACGAUAAAGCGGGUGAAAAGCCCGCUCGCCGGAAGACCAAGGGUUCCUGUCCAACGUUAAUCGGGGCAGGGUGAGUCGACCCCUAAGGCGAGGCCGAAAGGCGUAGUCGAUGGGAAACAGGUUAAUAUUCCUGUACUUGGUGUUACUGCGAAGGGGGGACGGAGAAGGCUAUGUUAGCCGGGCGACGGUUGUCCCGGUUUAAGCAUGUAGGCUGGUUGUCCAGGCAAAUCCGGAUAAUCAAGGCUGAGGUGUGAUGACGAGGCACUACGGUGCUGAAGUAACAAAUGCCCUGCUUCCAGGAAAAGCCUCUAAGCAUCAGGUAACAUCAAAUCGUACCCCAAACCGACACAGGUGGUCAGGUAGAGAAUACCAAGGCGCUUGAGAGAACUCGGGUGAAGGAACUAGGCAAAAUGGUGCCGUAACUUCGGGAGAAGGCACGCUGGUGUGUAGGUGAAGUCCCUGCGGAUGGAGCUGAGACCAGUCGAAGAUACCAGCUGGCUGCAACUGUUUAUUAAAAACACAGCACUGUGCAAACACGAAAGUGGACGUAUACGGUGUGACGCCUGCCCGGUGCCGGAAGGUUAAUUGAUGGGGUUAUCCGUAAGGAGAAGCUCUUGAUCGAAGCCCCGGUAAACGGCGGCCGUAACUAUAACGGUCCUAAGGUAGCGAAAUUCCUUGUCGGGUAAGUUCCGACCUGCACGAAUGGCGUAAUGAUGGCCAGGCUGUCUCCACCCGAGACUCAGUGAAAUUGAACUCGCUGUGAAGAUGCAGUGUACCCGCGGCAAGACGGAAAGACCCCGUGAACCUUUACUAUAGCUUGACACUGAACAUUGAGCCUUGAUGUGUAGGAUAGGUGGGAGGCUUUGAAGCGUGGACGCCAGUCUGCGUGGAGCCAACCUUGAAAUACCACCCUUUAAUGUUUGAUGUUCUAACGUUGGCCCCUGACCGGGGUUGCGGACAGUGUCUGGUGGGUAGUUUGACUGGGGCGGUCUCCUCCCAAAGCGUAACGGAGGAGCACGAAGGUUAGCUAAUCCUGGUCGGACAUCAGGAGGUUAGUGCAAUGGCAUAAGCUAGCUUGACUGCGAGCGUGACGGCGCGAGCAGGUGCGAAAGCAGGUCAUAGUGAUCCGGUGGUUCUGAAUGGAAGGGCCAUCGCUCAACGGAUAAAAGGUACUCCGGGGAUAACAGGCUGAUACCGCCCAAGAGUUCAUAUCGACGGCGGUGUUUGGCACCUCGAUGUCGGCUCAUCACAUCCUGGGGCUGAAGUAGGUCCCAAGGGUAUGGCUGUUCGCCAUUUAAAGUGGUACGCGAGCUGGGUUUAGAACGUCGUGAGACAGUUCGGUCCCUAUCUGCCGUGGGCGCUGGAGAAUUGAGGGGGGCUGCUCCUAGUACGAGAGGACCGGAGUGGACGCAUCACUGGUGUUCGGGUUGUCAUGCCAAUGGCACUGCCCGGUAGCUAAAUGCGGAAGAGAUAAGUGCUGAAAGCAUCUAAGCACGAAACUUGCCCCGAGAUGAGUUCUCCCUGAGACUUUAAGUCUCCUGAAGGAACGUUGAAGACGACGACGUUGAUAGGCCGGGUGUGUAAGCGCAGCGAUGCGUUGAGCUAACCGGUACUAAUGAACCGUGAGGCUUAACCUU